rnacentral:rRNA from 1 species
CAAUAGCGUAUACUAAUGUUGUUGUAGUUAAAAAGCUCGUAGUUGGAUUUUGGGACGUGGCGCACUGGUCCGCCUAAGACGGUGUGUACCGGUGUGCUCGUUCUUUCCUGUUGGAUACUCGCUUCUGCUCUUAAGUGGGUAGGGGUCAGGUCGUUCGCGGCCGGGGUUCCAGCUCGUUUACUUUGAAAAAAUCGCAGUGAUCAAAGCAGGCAUUUCGCCGUUGAACACGUUAGCAUGGGAUAAUUGAACAAGAUUUUGGUUCUAUUUUGUUGGUUUCUAGGACCGAGGUAAUGAUUAACAGGGAUAGUUGGGGGCAUUCGUAUUUCAUUGCUAGAGGUGAAAUUCUUGGAUUUAUGAAAGACGAACUUCUGCGAAAGCAUUUGCCAAGGAUGUUUUCAUUA